rnacentral:rRNA from 1 species
AUUGAACGCUGGCGGCAGGCCUAACACAUGCAAGUCGAGCGGAUGAAGGGAGCUUGCUCCUGGAUUCAGCGGCGGACGGGUGAGUAAUGCCUAGGAAUCUGCCUGGUAGUGGGGGAUAACGUCCGGAAACGGGCGCUAAUACCGCAUACGUCCUGAGGGAGAAAGUGGGGGAUCUUCGGACCUCACGCUAUCAGAUGAGCCUAGGUCGGAUUAGCUAGUUGGUGGGGUAAAGGCCUACCAAGGCGACGAUCCGUAACUGGUCUGAGAGGAUGAUCAGUCACACUGGAACUGAGACUCGGUCCAGACCCCUACGGGGGGCAGGAGGGGGGAAUUUUGGAAAAUGGGCGAAAGCCUGAUCCAGCCAUGCCGGGGGUGUGAAGAAGGUUUUCGGAUUGUAAAGCCCUUUAAGUUGGGGGGAAGGGAAGUAAGUUAAAACCUUGCUUUUUUGACGUUACCAACAGAAUAAGCACCGGCUAACUUCGG